UCUUUAGUUACAUUUUGAAAGAUUUCUAAGA
rnacentral:piRNA from 1 species